CAGGUCGAUCCCCCAAUCAAUUUGACCCUUUCGCUUUCCUAAACAACUAUUUUAGUAGUAUGAGGGGUGGGAAUAUUCAGUUAAUCUUCGAGAAUCAUCCUGAUGGAGGCGGUGGUGGAGCUGGUGGUGAUUUUAGGAUUCCGGGGAAUCUAGGUGACUAUUUUCUAGGACCUGGGCUUGAGCAAUUGAUUCAACAGCUUGCAGAAAAUGAUCCAAAUCGUCAUGGUACACCUCCGGCUGCAAAGUCGGCUGUUGCUG
rnacentral:lncRNA from 1 species